GAUGAACGCUGGCGGCGUGCCUAAUACAUGCAAGUCGAGCGAACGGACGAGAAGCUUGCUUCUCUGAUGUUAGCGGCGGACGGGUGAGUAACACGUGGAUAACCUACCUAUAAGACUGGGAUAACUUCGGGAAACCGGAGCUAAUACCGGAUGAUAUUUUGAACCGCAUGGUUCAAAAGUGAAAGACGGUCUUGCUGUCACUUAUAGAUGGAUCCGCGCUGCAUUAGCUAGUUGGUAAGGUAACGGCUUACCAAGGCAACGAUGCAUAGCCGACCUGAGAGGGUGAUCGGCCACACUGGAACUGAGACACGGUCCAGACUCCUACGGGAGGCAGCAGUAGGGAAUCUUCCGCAAUGGGCGAAAGCCUGACGGAGCAACGCCGCGUGAGUGAUGAAGGUCUUCGGAUCGUAAAACUCUGUUAUUAGGGAAGAACAUAUGUGUAAGUAACUGUGCACAUCUUGACGGUACCUAAUCAGAAAGCCACGGCUAACUACGUGCCAGCAGCCGCGGUAAUACGUAGGUGGCAAGCGUUAUCCGGAAUUAUUGGGCGUAAAGCGCGCGUAGGCGGUUUUUUAAGUCUGAUGUGAAAGCCCACGGCUCAACCGUGGAGGGUCAUUGGAAACUGGAAAACUUGAGUGCAGAAGAGGAAAGUGGAAUUCCAUGUGUAGCGGUGAAAUGCGCAGAGAUAUGGAGGAACACCAGUGGCGAAGGCGACUUUCUGGUCUGUAACUGACGCUGAUGUGCGAAAGCGUGGGGAUCAAACAGGAUUAGAUACCCUGGUAGUCCACGCCGUAAACGAUGAGUGCUAAGUGUUAGGGGGUUUCCGCCCCUUAGUGCUGCAGCUAACGCAUUAAGCACUCCGCCUGGGGAGUACGACCGCAAGGUUGAAACUCAAAGGAAUUGACGGGGACCCGCACAAGCGGUGGAGCAUGUGGUUUAAUUCGAAGCAACGCGAAGAACCUUACCAAAUCUUGACAUCCUUUGACAACUCUAGAGAUAGAGCCUUCCCCUUCGGGGGACAAAGUGACAGGUGGUGCAUGGUUGUCGUCAGCUCGUGUCGUGAGAUGUUGGGUUAAGUCCCGCAACGAGCGCAACCCUUAAGCUUAGUUGCCAUCAUUAAGUUGGGCACUCUAAGUUGACUGCCGGUGACAAACCGGAGGAAGGUGGGGAUGACGUCAAAUCAUCAUGCCCCUUAUGAUUUGGGCUACACACGUGCUACAAUGGACAAUACAAAGGGCAGCGAAACCGCGAGGUCAAGCAAAUCCCAUAAAGUUGUCCUCAGUUCGGAUUGUAGUCUGCAACUCGACUACAUGAAGCUGGAAUCGCUAGUAAUCGUAGAUCAGCAUGCUACGGUGAAUACGUUCCCGGGUCU
rnacentral:rRNA from 1 species